GACGGAGGGGGCAAGCGUUGUUCGGAAUCAUUGGGCGUAAAGGGCUCGUAGGCGGACUGGAAAGUCUGGCGUGAAAACUCCCCGCUCACCGGGGAGAGGCCGCUGGAUACUGCUAGUCUUGAGUUCGGUAGAGGAUCGUGGAAUUUCGGGUGUAGCGGUGGAAUGCGUAGAUAUCCGAAGGAACACCGGUGGCGAAGGCGACGAUCUGGGCCUGAACUGACGCUGAGGAGCGAAAGCCAGGGAGCAAACGGGAUUAGAUACCCGUGUAGUCCCUGAG
rnacentral:rRNA from 1 species